AUUGAACGCUGGCGGCAGGCCUAACACAUGCAAGUCGAGCGGGGUUUUCGGACCUAGCGGCGGACGGGUGAGUAAUGCGUAGGAAGCUACCCGACAGAGGGGGAUACCAGUUGGAAACGACUGUUAAUACCGCAUAAUGUCUACGGACCAAAGUGUGGGACCUUCGGGCCACAUGCUAUCGGAUGCGCCUACGUGGGAUUAGCUAGUUGGUGAGGUAAUGGCUCACCAAGGCGACGAUCCCUAGCUGGUUUGAGAGGAUGAUCAGCCACACUGGAACUGAGACACGGUCCAGACUCCUACGGGAGGCAGCAGAGGGGAACAUUGGACAAUGGGCGCAAGCCUGAUCCAGCCAUGCCGCGUGUGUGAAGAAGGCCUUCGGGUUGUAAAGCACUUUCAGCGAGGAGGAAGGGGUGAGUGUUAAUAGUACUCAUCUUUGACGUUACUCGCAGAAGAAGCACCGGCUAACUCUGUGCCAGCAGCCGCGGUAAAAC
rnacentral:rRNA from 1 species